rnacentral:rRNA from 1 species
GUCGAGAAUAAUUCACAAUGGACGAAAGUCUGAUGGUGCAACGCCGCGUGGAGGAUGAAGGUCUUCGGAUUGUAAACUCCUGUCAUCGGGGAGUAAGACCUGGCGGUAAAUAGCCGACAGGGUUGAUAGUACCCGAAGAGGAAGGGACGGCUAACUUCGUGCCAGCAGCCGCGGUAAUACGAAGGUCCCAAGCGUUGUUCGGAAUCACUGGGCGUAAAGGGAGCGUAGGCGGCGUGGUAAGUCAGAUGUGAAAUCCCGGGGCUCAACCCCGGAACUGCAUCCGAUACUGCCAUGCUUGAGGGUUGGAGAGGUAGCUGGAAUUCUCGGUGUAGCAGUGAAAUGCGUGGAUAUCGAGAGGAACACUCGUGGCGAAGGCGAGCUACUGGACAACAUCUGACGCUGAGGCUCGAAGGCCAGGGGAGCAAAAGGGGUUAGAUACCCUAGUAGUCC